UACGUAGGGGGCAAGCGUUGUCCGGAUUUAUUGGGCGUAAAGCGCGUGUAGGCGGCCUGACAGGUCUGCUGUGAAAACUCGAGGCUCAACCUCGAGAGGUCGGUGGAAACCGUCUGGCUAGAGUCCGGAAGAGGAGAGUGGAAUUCCCGGUGUAGCGGUGAAAUGCGCAGAUAUCGGGAAGAACACCCGUGGCGAAGGCGGCUCUCUGGGACGGUACUGACGCUGAGACGCGAAAGCGUGGGGAGCGAACAGG
rnacentral:rRNA from 1 species